AGUCAUUUAACUACCAGUCUUUUCUGUAAAGUAAGGAAUAUUCUUUCUUUUCUUUAUGAUUUAGAGACAGGGUCUUGCUUUGCUGCCGAGGCUGGAGUAUAGUGGCAUGAUCAUAGCUCACUGCAGCACUGAACUCCUGGGCUCAGGCAGUCCUCCCACCUCAGCUCCUAAGCAGCAGAGAUCACAGGCUUUCACUAAGAGCAUUUUAAAGAGUGACAGAUGGGAGCAGGCAUCUGCGUGAGGCUAAACAGACCCGGGCAAACACACCCAGCAGCUUCAACGAGCCGUGGCUGACUGAAGUUAAACCCUGUCCUCAAUGCCAGCACCUCCUCUGUGACCACCUGCUGAGCUGGUAACUGUGGUAAAUAAAACAGAAGGUGGCUAAUCUGCUUAAUUACCAUUAAACCAGCAGCACCUUUGGGCCUGGGGUGUCAGAAAGCAGUAUGUAGUGUGCCCCUGCCCCCCCGCCCCAACCGAUGGCCUGGCCCUUGUGUGCUCACUGUCCCUUCACGCAUGCUUCACAUACACCAGCAUCUCCUUUCACCUGCACCACAUGAAGAACGUGCAGCCUGGGGACACACGCGUCUGGUCUCAGUCCCAGAAGCAGUGAGCUGCAGAGUAUGCAGUGUCCCCCAAAGCUGCAGCUAUCUAGCUCCACUGCUUCAGUCCUUCUCCCCAGCCGCCUACCCCUGUUCUACGGCCUUCUUGAGACAUGGGUUUAUUUCCUGACUGGAUCUGGACAUUUAUCAGCCCUGUAGCCCCUCCUUCAAGGUGCAGCCCUCAGGACGAAGAUGCACGUGGAAUAUCAGUUCUCCGAUAUUCUUUUAUUUGACAGACUCCUGUGCCCCACCUGAAGUUAAAGGAGGGUGACAUGCAUCAGUCAGAGACAGACCAGUCCUUCUGGUCUUGUGUAGAGUGAGGCUGGGAGAAGCAGGGGACAGUGGAGGGCAAAGGGCUGCUGUAGAAACACCAUGGGUUUUGGAGCCAGCACGAUUGGUUUUGAACCCUAGCUGCUCUACUACAAGCUGUGGGGCCCCAAGUUCAAUCCCGUCAUCUAUAAAACAGGCAUAAAGACACCUAUGCCUGCGGGGAGUGUUAAGAAAGAACACCUAGCCCUCAGGGGCCCUCGGUGAUGGUUCACUUCGCUCUUGUUCUUGAAAGCCCAGGCCCCAAAUCAUAUUCUACAGUCAAAUGCACUCUGCUCUUUCAUACGCGGUUCCCCAUUAUUUAGAGGAAAAUAUGCUAUUUUAAGGAAGAUUUCUUACCAUCCCAAGCAUCAAACAUGUCUGUGAUGAAGUAAUCAAUGAAAGAGAUUUGGGAUUUGGGGAUGCUGCAGGUAUUUCUGUCAAACACUGGCAUCACCACAGGUAAGCCCUGCUGCUUCUCUUCAUCAGUCUG